UACGUAGGGUGCAAGCGUUAAUCGGAAUUACUGGGCGUAAAGCGUGCGCAGGCGGUUUUGUAAGACAGGUGUGAAAUCCCCGGGCUUAACCUGGGAACUGCGUUUGUGACUGCAAGGCUGGAGUGCGGCAGAGGGGGAUGGAAUUCCGCGUGUAGCAGUGAAAUGCGUAGAUAUGCGGAGGAACACCGAUGGCGAAGGCAAUCCCCUGGGCCUGCACUGACGCUCAUGCACGAAAGCGUGGGGAGCAAACAGG
rnacentral:rRNA from 1 species